rnacentral:tRNA from 1 species
UCCGCCUUAGCUCAGUUGGUAGAGCAGCGGACUGUUAAUCCGCUUGUCGCUGGUUCGAGCCCAGCAGGCGGAGCCA